rnacentral:tRNA from 1 species
AAGACUUUAAGUUAAAAACUAUUAGCCUUCAAAGUUGAAAAUACUUAWAUACCAAAAGUAAGUCUUA